CUUUUCUAGAGCCACUCCUGCGGCAUAUGGAGGUUCCCAGGCUAGGGGUCGAAUCAGAGCUGUAGUCUCCGGCCUACACCAGAGCCACAGCAACGAGGGAUCUGAGCUGCAUCUGCAAGCUACACCACAGCCACAGCAAUGCCGGAUCCUUAACCCACUGAGCAAGGCCAGGGAUCAAACCUGCAACCUCAUGGUUCCUAGUCAGAUUCGUUAACCACUGCGCCACAAUGGGAAUUCCCAACUGCCAACUUUCAAUGGCAUUUUCAGUUCUCCCAUUACUAAACCUUGCUGGAAUGCAUGACACUACUUUUUCUUUCCUGCAUCUGUAUCCACCUUUGGCUUCCUGGACAAUUCUGUCUCCUAAUUUCCUCCGGGUCUUUCUGAAUUAAUCUUUCUCGAUUCCCUCUGAAAGUUCCACUUCCUCUCUCUAGCCCUUGAAUACAGUAGUUCCUUAUGAAUCUAUCCUUCUACCCUCUGUCCUAUUGUUUCCCCUUUCUCUAUUGGUUCUUAGUAUAAAAACACACCUGUGGCUUCAGUUACCACCUUUAGGCCAGUGAUUCCAGAUGUGCACAUGCAGCUGAGGUCUCCCUUGGGUUUUGGAGGAGAAGUGCCGACUCCCUGGAUACCUCCACUGGGAUGACCAUUGACAUUGCUACGGGCAGAACCUAACUCAUUUUGACUAACUCCAUCAACUUCUGCUCCUACAUCUCUGUGAAAGAUAAUACCAUCUUCUCAGUUGCCAAAACCAUAAAUCUGGGACUUAUCCUGAGCUCUUUCCUCAUUUUCAAAUGACAUAGAUGUCAGCCUUCAACUAUUCUUGAUUAUGUUUCACUCCUACCGCUAUUAUUCAAAUUCAGACUCUUAUUGAGCCCUCUCAUCCUUCUUGUCUCCAGUUCUGCCAUUCAUUCAUUCAUUCAUUCACAGUGCAAUUAUGGAGUGUUUGCUAACAUCCAGGUACUGUCCUAUGGAUGUGGUCCAAGAGAUGAGCAUAGGCAAUCUAGUUCUGUUCUCACAGAGACUGCACUAGGGCCCAUAGUCAUCUUAAAACCCAAAUAUGAUCAUGCCAUUCUUUGUCCAACAUCCUCCAGCAGACUCUGAAGCUUCAGGACUAUGUCUGCCUUUCUUAGAUUGGUGUGGAAUGGUUUGUGUGAGACACUGCCCAUUGCCUCCCCAGGGAACCUCGAUUGCAGUUGGACACAGGGCCACUCAGGAGGCAAGGCAUUGUCUUCCGGACUCUCAUGCAAUCAGGGUGAUGGCCACGUGACUCAAUCCUGUCUAAUAAAGUAUAAUGUGGCUUAAAGCCAGUUCACCUAACCUGGGAGGGGUGGUGGGAGGGGACACUUUUUUGUCUUUCUUUGUUCUUUUGUCCUGCUACACAGAUGUGCUGACUGGAGUCCCCAGCCAUUUAGAACCACGAGGAGACCUUGAGGAUGUAAAGGAUGUGUGCUAGGAUAGUGAUGCAGAAAGACAAGAGUCUGAGUUCCUAAAGAAACUGAAAAUUGUGGCUCCCUAUACCAGCUUUGGCCUCCCUACCAUCACAUCUUUUUGCGAAAGGGAAACACACUUUUAUGCUUUCAUCUGGAUUAAACUACAACUAUUUGGGGGGGUGUAUUACAUGUAACGGAACUUAACCAAAUAAAUGAGACUCACAAAGACCUUUACACCGUGAGCCUUUCUUGCCUCUCCAGACUUAUCAUAUCUGACUCUUCAUGCAAGUACUCAAAUCCCUCCAACUCUCUUUUUCUCUCAUGCACACACAGAUGCGCACACUCACGUGCGCACGCGCGCACACACACACACACACACACACACUACAGACUCCCAUCUUCAUAUCUUUACCCCUGCUGUUCCUUCUACUACCUGGAACUCUCUCUCUUUUAACCUUCUUGCUUUCUUAUGUCUAAUGCUUACUGGUUUGUUUCAGACAUCACUUCUUCAGACUUACAGGUGUGGUUCAGGAUCCUUCACUGUCCCUUCCCAGCCUGGCUUAGGUGCCCCUCCUAAGUCCUUCUUCUGUAUGCUGUGCUUGCAGCCUUUUCAGUCUCAUACCUCAUACUUUCCUUGUUUCUUCCUUUGAGUUCUCCACUCGCCUGUGAGAGCUGGGCCAUGUAGGUGCCUAUUUGAAAUGAAUAACUUGCCCUCUAAUUUCUCCUGCCUCUGCUUUCAAAUUCAUGUCUAGUCAAUGGAAGAAGUUUUAACUCACAGGGUUUAGUGACUUGACCAAGGAUGGUUUUACAAUCCGUUUGCCUAUAUUCCUAUUUUCUUUCCCAUGUCGUGGCAUAUGUAUGGGUGGGGUGACUUUAUUUGAGAUGGGAGAAACCUGCUGAAGUGGAACCCUCCCCUCUGGGAGAUGGGUGAAUGCAUACAGCAGUUUCCUAGGUACUCUUACAAGUUUUCUUACGAUCGGCCACAAAUCUAGGAACCUGUGCCACACAUUGUUAGUGUCCGUUUGGAAAUUUUCUCAUACCCUAGGCUAAGGCAUUGCAAAUCCAAAUCUUCACCCUAUAAAGGAUUUGAAUGGAUCUGCUUUCUCUCUGGAGAUGUCCAGUCCCUUUAAUGGGCCUCACAGACUCUCUCCUCUUCAGUCUCAUCUCUUACCACCAUUUUGUCAUUUCCUUUGCACACUGAAGUGCUCGUCCUUCUGGGACAGCUCAUAGCGCUUCUCCCUCCAAACCUUUCUUCGGCUCUUUCCUCUGCCCGGAUUGUCUCCCCUUCUUUCUCAAAAUGUUAACUCCACCUAUUGGUUACAGCCCUUGGACCUUGACUCAGUGGACUCCUCCCCCCAGAACUCUGCCUCAGGCCCCCAGCGGCUGAGUUAGCUGUGGUUCCUCAACCCCAAAUACCCUGUGCUCAGCUCACCCUUGCCUCAGCAGUUAAUGCCUCUGCUCCAGUUCCUUCAAAGGCAGGAACUGCCCCUUGUUUAAAUUUGAAUCUUCCCAGUGCCUAGCACAUAGCAAGUGUGACUAUUUCCCUGAAGUAAUAAAUAAGUGAAAUAUCAAAUGCAAAUUCCCUGAGGCCCAUGCAAAUUACCUGAUUGCACAUUUUUUCUGGCUUCACUCUGAUAAACCAUCAGUUUUCCCCUUUGCAGAUUUCCGCAUCCUGGAUGGAACUAAUGAUUCAGUCAGCUCAGAUGAGAGUUUGGAGGGACACCUGAGGAGCUAGCCUGGUAUUGGAGGAGGCAGUGGGACUGAUUAUAAACCAUUUACUUAAGCAGAAAAUUUGGCCCUCCCGCUCGGUUCUGAGCUUUUUCACAGUUCCCCGUCUUGCUCCAUCACAUCACAUAGGGAUGUGUUCACUUGGGCUCCGGAGAGUGAGCUCUAUCAUUUGCCUGGAGCAUAACCUGAUAUCCUAGGAACCCUUCACCUGGAGAAACGGAACCAGCCCUUAGAAGUUCUUUAAUGGAGGUGUCACUGUUUAGGUGUGUCCGAAACACUUGGCUGCCAUCUCUCCAGACUGGGUUCCCAGAUGGAAAAAGUCCCAGAGAUUCACAUGUGGGGGUCUAGUUGUAAGUGCUUAUAAAUGUCAGCUGCUAUUAUUAUUGUUGUCAUAAUACUGGUCUGUGGUGUCUACAAAGAACCAAUCUUGAGAAGAGAACUCAGACAGAAAAAUGUCCUGGAGGCAAACUGAAAUGAAAAUGUAAACCAGAGUCUCGGCAUAGGAAUUCAGAAUCAUUUUAUUAAGGAAGACUUUGUCUCAUUUAAUGAUCUAAAAAAUGAAACGAAAACCAGAGAUUGCAUGAAAAAUUUGAAUCUGUUUUCAGGUUGCACCAUUAUUACUACUUUUUUUCUUGCCUCCCCUUUUUGCGCUUUCACUCUUUUCCCCGUGCAGAAGUGACCUCUUGGGUCCCUCGUGUUGAUUUGGCUCAAUUAUCUUUCAGUGCUGCUCUGCCCUAUUUAUAGGAAGUGGCAGGAGCUUUCUCCCUUCCCCAGGGAUCUCACUCCUCUUUUCACAGAGGACAUUUGACAGGAAGUGGUCCUUGUUUCUUUUAAAUGCUCAGCUGUCUUGCCUACCUUAGAAGAUAUGACUGGCCUUACCUUUCUGGUCAAGGGACUGCUUUCUACUCAGGAAGCUUGAGACGGAGCAGAGGGCAGAUGAUAGGCAAAGCCAGGGAACACCUUUGUUCCAAAGGAACCUCGACAGGAGGGAAUCCUGGUCCCAACAUGCAGGUAAGUAAUCAUGCCAGUUUGCUGUGGAGGCAUUGGUGGCAUGCCCGCAUUUUUGCCUCCUUCCUCUCUGCGGGCUGUUUCACUACUUCCUUUGCUGACUUCUUCUCCUCUGCUGGUCCUUCAGUGUUCAUGUUCCUCAUGGCUCUGUUCCUGGGCCUGGGCUCUUACUCUUCACUUUCCGUGCACCAUCUCAACCAUCCUGGGGCAACAGGAAGAAGAUGUGUCUCCCAAGCUCCAGACAAAUACAUGCAACUACCUUCUGAGUUCCUACCUGGAUAUCCCAUAGGGCGCUCAAACUCAAUAUAACAAAAAUCACACUUUCCUCCUCCCUCGGAUUUGCUUCUUCCUCAGUGUUCCCUCUCUCGGUAAAUGGCCCUGCUCUCUAAGCUGUUACCCAAGCAGCAACCUGGAAGUGGACCUUGACUUUUCACUCCCCCGCCCCUCCCACCUAUUCAUUCAAUCACUAAUUCCCGUCAUCUCCUUUAGUUCUUUUCUGCAUUCCACAGACAUCAGAGAGUCCAGGCCACCAGAUCCUCUCUCCUGGGCCAGUGCAGGAAUUCCCUUGCUGCCUUCUCUGCUUCUACGCUUAUUCCAAUCCAUAAUUCGUCCUGCAGCUAGUUGGAUAGUCUAGCAAUGAAAGCUGCCCUGAUGUAACACUUUCCUCUUGUCCUAAGGAUGAUACCCAGACACUUAAACAUGCUCUAAGGCCACGAUUUGACCUUGAGCUAGCUGCCAGCUGCAUCUCUUCUCAGCUCCCUCCUAUUUUUGUGCUCCACUUACAAUGAGCUUCAUUCAGUUCCUCAAAUGUCCCCAUGCUUUUUCUGACUUCUGCAUCUUUGCAGAUGCUAGUCCCUCUGGCUGUAGCAUACCCCACCUUUGGUGUCUAGGUCCCCUCUGUCCCUCCUUUACCUCCCAGCUUAAAUACCAAUUCCUUUAGGAGCCCUUUCCUGGCCCCUAAGCUUGACUCACCCCCUGGUAAGUGUUCCCAUAGCUCUCCCUACCUCUACCAGCAUAAAAUGCAGCACAACUGGCACCAGUUCAAGAUUUGCCUUUCUUGAUAGUGUUGGAGAGCAGGGAAUGUAUCUGUCUUAUUCAAUUGUAUUUCAUUGUCUGGCAUGCUGGGUAUAGUCAUUGCUCAAUAAGUAUUUAUUGAGUAUUUAAGUAAAUGAAUACAAAUAACUAAAGAAUAAUAUCUCUUAUUUUGAAUUUUUCUGAUCAUCAAUAAGAUUAAACUGUUUUGGUAUGUGUUUCUUAGUAAUUUGUUGUUUUAGUUGCCAUUUCAUAUUCUUGGCCUAUUUUUCCUUAUUUUUUGUUAUUAAGUAUUAAGAACUUUCUGUAAAUUAAAGAUAUUAGUUCCUUUAUAUUUUAUAAAUAAUUUUUCUGAUAUAUCCUUUGUUUUUUUUUUUUUUACUUUUGGUAUUUUUUUUUCUUAUAAAGCCUUUGAAUUAUCACAUAUUUGAAUUGACCAAUCUUUUGCAUGAGGAUUAGAAAGGGCUCCCAUAUAGGCAUAUGUUUGUAUUUGCAAGGAAGGAUGCUUGACUUAUUUUCCUCUGUGGGUUGAUAUGGAGGGGAGUGCCUGUGAGGAAACAUUUAUCUCUUACUUUGCUAUAAGGUUGUAAAGUUUUUUGUAGAGGCUUUUGUUUUCAAACAAAAAUAUUUAAGGCUGACUCUUAAGACUUCCAUUUCCUGAAGAUGGAGUAGAUAUCUUUUUCUGUAUUCCUCCUGCUUAGCAAAACUGAAAACCUUAGACAUUAUUUAAAAAGACUCUGAAAGAUAGAAAGAGGAAGCAGAUCAUCUAGGGAAUUUGCAACCCCAGGAAAAACAUGGUGGUGAGUUCCUGGGUUUCUCUUGCAUUUUAUAUCCCCGUUUUGGAGUUGAAGAAGGCAUUGUAACCCAGAAACGCCAAGGGGCACAAACAUAGACCCAACAAAAGCCUGUUCUCUCUAGUUAAAGAGCCAGGGAAAAGGCAGCCUAGCAAGACAGAAAAUGUUUAGACAAUAACCACUCUACUC
rnacentral:lncRNA from 1 species